UUGUUUUCUAUAUCAUUUCUAUAUCAAUUUUAUUGUGACCUUUGGGAUUUUCGUUCUCAUCCAUAGGAAGCUCUACCUAGCUCGCAGCGCAAAGCGGCGGAAGAAGCUUCUUCUCCGAUCAUACACAUACCGCCGUGGAUAACUAUAACACCCUCGCAAUCUCGCUCUUCCCUUCUUGGGUCGUUCUCUCCAAUUGCACUCUCUGAUCAGAAUUGUCUCUCCGAUUCACGGUGGUAUCGUAAUCGCAGCAACAUCAGAGAAAUAGUGGCGUUGAAGGUCUAAAUCCUAGCAUUUGACAAAGAUUGAAGACCGCGGUUGAGGCGUAACGGCGAGGAAGAGGCUCUGAGAAAGAGUUUGAAGACUAUCGGUGGUGAGGAAUCGAUCGAUAAGUGUGAGGAUCGAAGAAGCGUUGAAGGCGGUGAUCAGGUUUGUGAAUUCGGAGAAUGAGAGGAUGAUGAGAGAUGCAUCCAGAAGAUUGAAGAUUAUGCCGAGAAGAAGAUGAUUGAAGAAUGAAUGAAGAAUGUGUGAAGGUUCAUAGACUGAAGAAGAUGGAUGAAGGUGGGAGAGGAAUGAAGUAUCUGAGUGAGGUGGUGCCGAGUGAAAAUGUUUGAAGAGGAGGGAGAUCUGAAUUUAUAGAAGUUGUGAAGAUGAUGAAAAAUGGUGGAGAGUGGAAGCUUGAAGAAAGUGAAAAUGGAUUUUUUAAAACUUAAGAAUAAUCAGUGCUCUGUUAUAUAUGGAUUCACAUGGUGUGUUUGGCAUAUGUAUGCUGCCACUGGUCUUCUUUUCAAGAGGUUUGACAGUGACUUGAUGCUUGCUUGCAGAUGGAACGAGAUGAUAAGCAUGGUUGCAAUUCGGAGCUCCGUGGUGUGCCUCAGAUUGGACUCAGUGCAGGGUCGGUUUUCUAUUGGAGCUUUGCCUUGAACUGAUCUUGGUUGGUUAUUUUUCUGGACUGGAUUAUUAGUUAUUGAAAUGAGGUUUGAAUGCAGGUCCAGACACAAGCUUAAGGUGGGUACACGAUUCUUUGGAUUGAAGUUAGUUGCAAUGUUUUGUAAUGGAACAAUGGCCUUGCUUUGGCUUGAAUCAUGAAGGGAUUUGGCUCAAUUUAGACGCGGAUGACCUCGUACAAAGUAAGCAACAUGGUGCCCCGAGUCAUGGUGAGCGAAGCAAAGAUAAAGACAAAAUGGGCUGGCAAUAAAAGGAGAUAGGUUUAGAAGUCAGCAAUUCUAGUCUUAGGGUCAAUGGUCAACUGUUGACCAAAGGUCAAUUAUUGACCAAAAAGUCAACUAUGCCAAAUUUUGUAGAUUUUUCUGUACUCUCCUUUUUGUAACAUGUAACUUGUAUUUGAAACAAUGCACUUGAAUGAGCUUGUGACUUGGAAUAAUCAUGAAUGAAUGUUUCAAUAUGACCUUUGAUCCAAUCUUGAAUAAUAAGGGCAAUCUUACAAUCUCAGUGAAAUCUUGACUUCAUUCUAAAUCCUUAAAUUAAAUCCCAGAGCGAAUGACUCAUACCACAAGUGAUAACCUGACC